GUUCCCGUAGCUCAGUAGGAUAGAGCGCAGGAUUCCUAAUCCUGAGGCCGUGAGUUCGAAUCUCGCCGGGAACGCCA
rnacentral:tRNA from 1 species